AUUGAACGCUGGCGGCAUGCCUUACACAUGCAAGUCGAACGGUAACAGGUCUUCGGAUGCUGACGAGUGGCGAACGGGUGAGUAAUACAUCGGAACGUGCCUAGUAGUGGGGGAUAACUACUCGAAAGAGUGGCUAAUACCGCAUGAGAUCUACGGAUGAAAGCAGGGGAUCGCAAGACCUUGUGCUACCAGAGCGGCCGAUGGCAGAUUAGGUAGUUGGUGGGAUAAAAGCUUACCAAGCCGACGAUCUGUAGCUGGUCUGAGAGGACGAUCGGCCAAACUGGGACUGAGACACGGCCCAGACUCCUACGGGAGGCAGCAGUGGGGAAUUUUGGACAAUGGGCGCAAGCCUGAUCCAGCAAUGCCGCGUGCAGGAUGAAGGCCUUCGGGUUGUAAACUGCUUUUGUACGGAACGAAAAGCCCUGGGUUAAUACCCUGGGGUCAUGACGGUACCGUAAGAAUAAGCACCGGCUAACUACGUGCCAGCCGCCGCGGUAAGAC
rnacentral:rRNA from 1 species